UACGUAGGGCGCGAGCGUUAAUCGGAAUUACUGGGCGUAAAGCGUGCGCAGGCGGCGCGUUAAGACAGGUGUGAAAGCCCCGAGCUUAACUUGGGAAUUGCGCUUGUGACUGGCGUGCUGGAGUGUGGCAGAGGGAGGUGGAAUUCCACGUGUAGCAGUGAAAUGCGUAGAGAUGUGGAGGAACACCGAUGGCGAAGGCAGCCUCCUGGGCCAGCACAGACGCUCAUGCACGAAAGCGUGGGGAGCAAACAGG
rnacentral:rRNA from 1 species